CUCACGGCCUAUCAGCUUGUUGGUGGGGUAAUGGCUCACCAAGGCGACGACGGGUAGCCGGCCUGAGAGGGUGACCGGCCACACUGGGACUGAGACACGGCCCAGACUCCUACGGGAGGCAGCAGUGGGGAAUAUUGCACAAUGGGCGAAAGCCUGAUGCAGCGACGCCGCGUGAGGGAUGACGGCCUUCGGGUUGUAAACCUCUUUCAGCACGGAAGAAGCGAAAGUGACGGUACGUGCAGAAGAAGCGCCGGCUAACUACGUGCCAGCAGCCGCGGUAAUACGUAGGGCGCAAGCGUUGUCCGGAAUUAUUGGGCGUAAAGAGCUCGUAGGCGGUUUGUCGCGUCUGCUGUGAAAGCCCGGGGCUUAACCCCGGGUGUGCAGUGGGUACGGGCAGACUUGAGUGCAGUAGGGGAGACUGGAAUUCCUGGUGUAGCGGUGAAAUGCGCAGAUAUCAGGAGGAACACCGAUGGCGAAGGCAGGUCUCUGGGCUGUUACUGACGCUGAGGAGCGAAAGCAUGGGGAGCGAACAGGAUUAGAUACCCUGGUAGUCCAUGCCGUAAACGUUGGGCACUAGGUGUGGGGAACAUUCCACGUUUUCCGCGCCGUAGCUAACGCAUUAAGUGCCCCGCCUGGGGAGUACGGCCGCAAGGCUAAAACUCAAAGGAAUUGACGGGGGCCCGCACAAGCGGCGGAGCAUGCGGAUUAAUUCGAUGCAACGCGAAGAACCUUACCAAGGCUUGACAUACACCGGACCGGGCCAGAGAUGGUCUUUCCCCCUUGUGGGGCUGGUGUACAGGUGGUGCAUGGUUGUCGUCAGCUCGUGUCGUGAGAUGUUGGGUUAAGUCCCGCAACGAGCGCAACCCUCGUUCUAUGUUGCCAGCACGUGAUGGUGGGGACUCAUAGGAGACUGCCGGGGUCAACUCGGAGGAAGGUGGGGAUGACGUCAAAUCAUCAUGCCCCUUAUGUCUUGGGCUUCACGCAUGCUACAAUGGCCAGUACAAUGGGUUGCGAUGCCGCGAGGUGGAGCUAAUCCCAAAAAGCUGGUCUCAGUUCGGAUCGUGGUCUGCAACUCGACCACGUGAAGUCGGAGUCGCUAGUAAUCGCAGAUCAGCAACGCUGCGGUGAAUACGUUCCC
rnacentral:rRNA from 1 species